rnacentral:lncRNA from 1 species
GCUCCUCUGAGAGGCGAUGCCUGGGAGUGUAAACCAUGCGAGUGUUCCUCUGCGGUUCCCCAAUUCCUAGCCCGACGCCUUGCACAGAGCGGGUCAUUCAAUGCAUGAAUGAAGAAAAGAGGAACCAAGGGGGGAAUUACGGUAUCCUACCCAGGGAGAGUUACUACGGAUGGAAAGCCAGUACUUGCUAUGGACCCCAGAGUGGAGAUUCUCUACAGAAUGACUAUUUGUGAGAAGGAUCUGAGCGGCCACUUCCAGGAAGAAGUGCAGCUGGAUAGGUGGAAUGUUUCUCAGUGGGAGAAAGAGCAUUUUGGAGAGAAGAGUAGCAUCUCUACAUACCUCC